UACGUAGGGGGCGAGCGUUGUCCGGAUUUAUUGGGCGUAAAGAGCUCGUAGGCGGCUUAGCAAGUCGGGUGUGAAAACUCCAGGCUCAACCUGGAGACGCCACUCGAGACUGCUAUGGCUAGAGUCCGGUAGGGGACCACGGAAUUCCUGGUGUAGCGGUGAAAUGCGCAGAUAUCAGGAGGAACACCGAUGGCGAAGGCAGUGGUCUGGGCCGAUACUGACGCUGAGGAGCGAAAGCGUGGGGAGCGAACAGG
rnacentral:rRNA from 1 species